CCGUAUUCUGAAGUCGGGUUUAAUUUAAACUCUGGUUUUAAGUUGUGGUUUAACUAUGGAAGGCCAGUUGUUACAUAAAUCUCUAACAGUAGAGGUUCAAUGUAUCUGCUCAUUUGACUCCCAAAACAUUAUUAACUGCCUGGGAAGGAUAAGUAUGACAAUUGUGUUCAUCAUGAUUAGUGAAGAGCACAAUUAACAUGAGAUGCAUUCACUGGAAACAAAAUUUUGAAACGUUUGGCUUCCCAUAAUUUUAGCACAGAGUUAGACCAUGGUUUAAGUUAAACCCGACUUUAGAAUACGGGCCUAUAGGGUUUUACAUGUACAAGCCUAUUAUAAAAUCUAACCCUAUGCCCUCUGAGAUAUGAAGACCGGAACAAAUGUCGUUGGAGCAAAUGUUGUGCCUCCCAGUGUACAGUGCACUUGUAUACUUGCACAAACACGUACAUGUACAUACGACAUCUCUGUAGAAAGAGUUGCAUUUAAUAACGCAAUAAGAGAAUCAAACGCAAGUGCAAAAGUGCGCCUCGGAUUGGUCGAAAAUAAAGCUGUGUUUGAUUAUCACUCUUUCUUCAAUGCUGCCGUACUUUGGCAAAAGGAAGCAAGUUUAAAAGUAUCAUUUGUUGUAAAUGAGCAAUGUGUGUUCAUCAUUAACAUAGUCGUCAGUGCAGUUUAACAGCAUAUUUUCUUCAAUAUCCGUAGAACGAUCAUUUCUUCCCCAAAUUUUGCCUGAACGUGCAACAUACAAAGGGUGUUUCAGAAACAACAAUAACUCAAAUAUCACUGAUGUGUCACUUGCUUCCUUUUGCCAAAGUUGGGCAGAAUGUGCCCCUAAUGUCUCUAAAUUUGUGUAUUCCCCCUAUUUCCUGUUAAAGGGAUCCAGUAUCCAUAGAAAAUACAUGUAAAAAUUCUUCCUUAUUUUUUUUGUAUCAUGUACAAUUGAAUUUGUACCACGUACAAUUGAUUUGUACAAAUUUAUUCAAUGCGAUACAACUGAAAUUGCUGUAUUCCGCUGUAUUUUCUUUUUGUAUUGCAACUUUGAAUUUUACACAAUACAUGUAGAUGUAAUUGAUAGGCUGAAAGUUGCUGAAUAAAAUAAAGAUUCUCUAUAUACAUGUAUAUACAACUCUACAAGUAAAACCUUGUUAAUGGCUUUAUGGGCUGAAGAUUGCUGAAAAAAUAGCUUUUGACAGUGCCUGCACUGUACACUGCAAUGUACUGGGUAUGAGGGGCCUACAUGUUACUCUGAAGUUACCACGUCGGAGUGACUGGCUUAAAUUAGAAAACAUCUUUUUUUUUUUCAAUGUACGUGUACUUUAGCUUAGAGGGCGUUUGAAGAUAAACAACUUGCCAUUUAAUUUGAUAAUAUUGCCUAUUUUCUCGGCUGUACUACUGUACGUACACUAAUGCAGGGGCGUAUUCAGGAUUUUGGCAGAGAGGGGCGCAUGAAGGUAAUUCGGAAAUGGAGGGGGCGCAGGUGACAGUUCCUUAGAUUUAGCAACAUUAUGGGCAAUUUUCAAAAUUAAGAGGGGGCGUCACCCCUCCUGCCUGGAACCCCCACUCGGAACUGUACAGUAGUGAGUAUCGUAGUACUAUAGAAUGUAUAUUGGAUGCUUUAAAUGUAAAUAUGAACAUGCUAUUAUUAUCCUUAUAUCGUGUAGCUUGUUUGAAUACUUCUCUUUUUAUGAUACACUGUAUAUGCAUGCUGUGAGCUUUAAUGUGUCGCAAAAUGGUUCACAAUGUAAUAAUAUGGUGACCAUAUAAAUGUAUUUACAAACUACAGUAUGUACAACGUUAAUGAUGUAUAUAAUUCCAUAUGGGUGCAUAUACCAAUACAUAUUUGCUUUUAACAAAACCCUCUUCUAUUAUUUUCUUUGAAUAAGAUAUUCAGUUAUGGUAUAUUUGCCACUUGCCGAACAUAAGGACAACUCAAAAACAAAAACAGUCUUGAUUAUAAAAUGUUGGAAUAACUGCUUUUUCAUUCAACUUUUUGUUAAUGGGGAGUUGCAGGAAAAUAUUUGCAAUUUAAUCGCAAAUUUCGGUUGCAAUUGAUAGAUCAAUUUUAGCUAUAGAUAGCAAAUUUUAGUAAUACACUCCACUGCACAAAGCAGCUUCUGGUUAACAGUCAAUUGCAAAUUGCCAUCAAUUACAAAACACGAUCUAUUAGGCAACUCCAAAUAGAUUUGCAAAUGAUUGCAAAUUUCUUGCAAUGCCGCCCGAAGAAGAUGUCUGCACUAUUAAAAGUAUGCCUAAUUUAAUAGAGCAAAUACAUAUCCUGCCUUGUCCAGCUUGACUGCCAUGUAGCCUAGUACAUUGUACAUGACAUGCAUGGAUGGUACAAAGUAAUUGUUGUCCACUUACAUGUAAGCGGACCAUUCUUACAACUGAAAAGCUACAUGUGUAUACAAAUAUAGCCACGAUGUUAGCUGCCUAGUCUGCAGACACAGACCUUUUUUUCACAAUAUCGCUUUAAUAGUGCAUAAAUGUAGAGUCUGAAGUAGUGAGACUAGGUUCACCAUGUACUGUUGCUGCCUGUACCAAAUGUUAUGUGAUUCAGACAGGGAGUUUGGAGUCUGGUCUUCGCUCAAGACGUGGUGUAUAUGGUUAAAGUCUCAAACUUGAGUCUGUGCGUGCAGACUAGGUGUACAUGUACAUGCAUGCCUGCAUCACUUGUGUAUGUGAUCUCGAGUCCACGGAUGAUGGAAUACAAAGAGCGUGGGCUGUUCCGGAGGGAGGAUGAAUGGUAGAUCCCUUUUACCUGGAAUGUUUAGGAUGAAGGGCAAGGUCAUGUGGCAUGACCUGGUAAAUAUCAACCACCGGGAGGAUGAAAAAUGAUAUUUUGCAUAAAAUGACAAACCUUUUUUUUUUCAUGGCUUGUACAUGUCGCCUACAUCAUGCUUUGCAUUUUUGUCAAUACAGUAUCAAUCAGAGAGGUACAUGUAUACCAUUCGUGUCCUUGAAUAUUGUAUUUAGUCUGAGUAAUUUUUAUAUAUAUUUUUUUUCAUAAUGCCUUCCAUUAUUUCAAUGACUUGUAUAAUUCAUGUUUUCCAUACUACAUCAACCAGGGGGAAGGGGGGGGGGGUACAAAUACCUUGGAUGUUGUGGUGUUGAACCGGAUAUGAUGUACCAUUGCAUUUCAGGGAUUCAUAAACUUUAUAAUUUAUGUUUUCUAUAUCAGAUAGAAGGGCACACAUUGGGAUGGUCAUGAGGAGGUAGAAUAAUGACUAUUUUCAUAAUUCUGAAUAACAUUUUUUAUGAAUUCAUGUUUUGCGUAAUCCAGUGCACAUGAUCUAGGGGAGUGUGGAAUGCCAUAUUGUAACAAUGUUACUAACAUUGUAAGAUAAAGUAGGCCUAUUGAUUAAAUUAGCCUGGGUCUUCAUGUAUGUUGUCUAGGCCUACUUGUACAUGUAGAAUGUUGGUAUACAGUACAUUUUGUAGUAAUAACAGGAUGACUAAUAUGGUGUUUUUUAAUAAUUUUGUUAACAGUUUUUCUAAUUACAUGUAGACCUACAUUAACAUUAAAACCUUUGAUGAAUGUAUCAAUUUUAAAUCAAACAUCAAACAAGGAUAUAUUGUAGCUUGACAGUUUGGCAACAUACUGUAAGUUGUUGGGCGUUUUUUGAAUAAGGGACUCGAGUAGAAAUUGACUUUCAAUUGCAAUGUACAGUGCAUCAGCCGUAAUUUUAACUAUAUUUUAGAUUUUUUUUUCUUUUUAGCUAUUGUACUGGCUCAUACUGCUUUAAUACAAGUGAUAGCACUGAGGCUGUUUAUAUUCUUGCCCCCCCCCCCCCUAUUUGCAUUUUUGAGAAAUAACAAAAGUUGUUGUUUUUUUUUUUUGCUGUUAUUUUUUUUUAGAGAACCUCAUGCAUUUGAUGUCAAAGCGCUUUGAUGUUUAACGUGGAAUAACGUUCUAGAAAACACUGAAAUGUCAGAAAGUUCAUUUUGUUUGCUAAAUUGUAGUACUUCACAUUUUUGUUUCCUAAAUCAUCAUACUUCACAUAUUUGUUUGCUAAACCUAUGAUACUUCACAUAUUUGUUUGCUAAACCUAUAAUACUUCACGUAUUUGUUUGCUAAAUCAUAAUACUUCACAUUUUUGUUUGUUUUUCAAAGAUUCGGGGCAAAGGGGCUGUAAGAUAAGGAGAUUCACUUUAUAUUUACAGAAAGCAAUGAUUGAUUGUAUUUUUUUAAGAUGUAUGGUUUUCAAUAUAAUUCCAUGUACAUGUAAGGGCCACCGCACACCUUACGACUGUUCGCGAUCCGAUUUUGGGACAAAUUGCAUUUUGCUCAUUUUCUGAAAAUGUGAAUGGAACAUAUCAUUUUAUUUGAGGUCAAAAUUAAUUGAAAGAAUACUAAUGUAACCAUUUUGAAAGAUCGCAAGCCUUUAUUUUGGAAUAAAGGCCAAAUUAGGUUCAAAUCGUAGUCUAUCGUACGACUGAUAUGACGUCAUUACGACUAGAUAUAAAAUUCGCUUUUAUUCUAAGCAGGAUGAUAGCAUAGUCACAGAUUUGAACAUAGGUAUUCGUACGAUGAUUUAGAACAUUACACAGUAAGAUAUUUCAAGUCUCAAUAUUAGUAUCAAAUUCUACUACGUUAUAUUCUGAAAUCGGGUCGCAGACCAAUCGUAAGGUGUGCGGUCGCCUUAAGCUUUACUUUACAAUUAAUUGCAUAAUGUCAUAUGACACCCCGCCAUCGGUAUCAAAUUGUAAAAUGAAAAUUUCGUAUUUUCAUACUUUGCCUCUUUUUUAUUUGGGAAGCUAAAUUUUACUAAAGUAUUUCUUUGAUUGCAUGCACUUUCGGUGAUCAGUUCAUCAAUAUCUGCACUAGAGUGGAUUAGAAAUUUCCUUCAAAAAUAUUUGAGAAAUUUAAAAAAAGUUAAUCAAUAAUUAGUCAAUGACUCAGUACACUGCCUGUUUGUGUGUCAUUCUGGGGAGGUGUCCAUGUCCUUGCCCAUACAGUGUAUACGCAUGGGGAAAUGAGCAAAUGUGCAUGCAUGCUGCGCUAAUAACACUAAUGAGCAUUGUGUUAAUUACCAGCAUUCGUACUUGGGCGUGAACAUGACAAAAUGUGGAGAAAACGGCAUCGACAGUAAAUCAUGGCCGUUAAAGACCCAUUUUUAGCUCUGUUCAAAUUAUGAAUGAUGAAUCAUACAAUGGUCUUUCUAUAUUUUUUGUCUUCGAAUUUGUAAAAUUGUAGUUCUUCUCUCUAAUCUUUAUACAUUGAAUAAGAUGUCCAUGUCGUAAGGCAUAAUGUUUUUUAAAGUGAUUUUAGAGUGAAUUGGGGGUGAAAAAUACUUUUGGAUGGACUUAUAGAAUGGUCUUUGAGUAAUCCUUGAGAUAGGUUGCUUCAGAUGAGGGAAUAUUCAGAUUAGAUUUUCACUCAAUAUAUUCUACAAAUUCAUUCUGAUUUACUCCUUAAGGAGUGAAUUCAUUCUAUUACUCCAAAAAAGUGAAUGCAAUCUUAUUAAUUUAAUGAAAAAGUGAAAAUAAGGAGUGUGAUUUAAUGCUGAUUCAAUCCUUAGUGUUUGAACUCACUCAUAUCCACUCCUGAACUUGAAGGGUUUAUUCAAUCUUAACUCCAGAAAGAAUUAAUUCCACCUUACUCUACUUUUCAAGAGAUGAAUCGUUCUGCAAAGAGUGAAUUUAAGCACUGUAUCAGUCCAUAAGUGUCAAAUCCCUCUUUGUGCUUGACAGUCAAUUCACUAUUUAUAGAUUGAAUUCACCUUUAUUCACUCCUAAACGAAUACAUUUUCAUUCAUCUGUUAUCAUUUUUAAAGAGAGAGGGUAUAUGCCUUUGAAUAUAUCUCAGGCCGGGUAAUUUCAUUCUUUCGUACUGUUCGAUCGUGCCUCACUCUUUCGUAUUUUCUUUUUUCGAUAAAAUCAAGUUUUAAAGAUUUAAUUGUACUUUCAUACCAAUUUUAUGACAUUGCAUAUUUGCAAUUAAAUGCAUCAGAUUUUAUUCCCUCUGUACACAUUGUGAACCAACUAUAUGUAUGAUUACUUAUGAAUAAAAAUGUGUUUUAGUGA